rnacentral:rRNA from 1 species
GAUGAACGCUGGCGGCGUGCCUAAUACAUGCAAGUCGAGCGAACAGACGAGGAGCUUGCUCCUCUGACGUUAGCGGCGGACGGGCGAGUAACACGUGGAUAACCUACCUAUAAGACUGGGAUAACUUCGGGAAACCGGAGCUAAUACCGGAUAAUAUAUUGAACCGCAUGGUUCAAUAGUGAAAGACGGUUUUGCUGUCACUUAUAGAUGGAUCCGCGCUGCAUUAGCUAGUUGGUAAGGUAACGGCUUACCAAGGCAACGAUGCGUAGCCGACCUGAGAGGGUGAUCGGCCACACUGGAACUGAGACACGGUCCAGACUCCUACGGGAGGCAGCAGUAGGGAAUCUUCCGCAAUGGGCGAAAGCCUGACGGAGCAACGCCGCGUGAGUGAUGAAGGUCUUCGGAUCGUAAAACUCUGUUAUUAGGGAAGAACAAAUGUGUAAGUAACUGUGCACAUCUUGACGGUACCUAAUCAGAAAGCCACGGCUAACUACGUG